AGGCCGAAAGGCGUAGUCGAUGGGAAACAGGUUAAUAUUCCUGUACUUGGUGUUACUGCGAAGGGGGGACGGAGAAGGCUAUGUUAGCCGGGCGACGGUUGUCCCGGUUUAAGCAUGUAGGCUGGUUGUCCAGGCAAAUCCGGAUAAUCAAGGCUGAGGUGUGAUGACGAGGCACUACGGUGCUGAAGUAACAAAUGCCCUGCUUCCAGGAAAAGCCUCUAAGCAUCAGGUAACAUCAAAUCGUACCCCAAACCGACACAGGUGGUCAGGUAGAGAAUACCAAGGCGCUUGAGAGAACUCGGGUGAAGGAACUAGGCAAAAUGGUGCCGUAACUUCGGGAGAAGGCACGCUGGUGUGUAGGUGA
rnacentral:rRNA from 1 species